GACCUCUCUGCCCUUAUCAUUAAGUAAAAGACCAUCUCUGGGGUCCCUUUCUCCUCUAAAUCUACCUUUCUGUUGUGGAAAGGAAACAAGACUGACAGUUUAUGGGGGAAGGGGCCAACUGGGAGUGGCAGUUGGGUCUUGUGACUAGCACUUCCUUCCUGCCAGGUCCUUAUUGGACCCCUGCUGUUUCCUCUCAGCAGGGGGCAUCUCCCUCCCUUGCCUCUCCAAGCAAUAUUCCCUCUCUCCCUUUAACUCCUCCUUACCCCUAUACAAACCUCCCUUAUUAUUCCCCAUUUAUCCCCUGUUUUCCAAUUCCCAUAUAAAUAUUACACUGUAAAACUUUGAAUACAAGGAAAUCUGAAAAGACCUUACAAGGGGAUGCAAACUCUGUGAAUGGGCAAAUCACUUAACUGAUUGCCUAACUCUUGCCAUUCUUUUGACUUAGAAAUGAUACUAAGCCCAAAAGGUAAGGGUUAAAAGGAGAAGAAAGAAGAAGAAAGAAGGAAGAAGGAAGGAGGAAGAAGAAUAAGAUGACAAAGAAGGAGGAAGAGGAUCUACAGGAGGAGGAAGAUGAGGAUAAAAAUAAGAAAUGACAAAGAAUUUUCAAAAAGACUAAGUAGGACAGACUGAAGGAGUGUUAUAAUACUUCAGGCAUUGAGAACAAGUAAUUCAUACAUAAAAAGGAAUUAGGAAGACUAGCUGUUCAUAUUUAUAUUCAAUUUUUAAAAGGACUAGGUAACCCCCACCACUACCUUCCCAAGACUUCUGCAGACCACCCAGGAGACCCCCGGGGAGAAGAGAGAGCCCUGGUGUAAUUUAGGAGUGCAGCCAACAUCCCGUGAGCCUGGAAGUGUCAGGGACAGAGUCCAGAGUGGCAUUCACCCAACCGUUAUGUUCCGCCUGGCAGGCAGCGAGAUGUCAGCUAUCCAAGAAUGUGUCAUUAUAAGCUUGUUAAAAAUCAAAUCAAGCUACCUAUCUAUCUGCAAGUGACAAGCAUUUGGCAUAAGACUGAUCUUUUCAGGUAAUAUUCUAGAAAUCAUCUUUGAAAUGCUCACUUUUUACUCAGUGACAUGAAGGCAAGCCUGGCUGCUUCUCCUGCUAUUGUUAUUGUCCUGGUACUUUCCCACACUUUGUUGACAAUGGGGUGAAUCACUUCAGUAACUGCCUGACCCAGAGCCCAAACGGUACCUAGCCAGUACCUUCCUUGAGUCUGGGCUUCUCCUUUCCAUUUAUGAAGAGGAAAAAUUACCGUGAUGGAUACAAGCCGGCACUUGUGAUCAUUAACAGGGAGUGAUUGUCCAUGGGUACGCCGUAAAACGGAGCGCGUAUUGAUUCUUUUUAAUGUUAACUGUUCUGAAGUAGUGAUUGAAAAUUACUGUCGAAUUGCAGAUAACGCCGGCUGGUCCUCACCCAAACGAUAAAUAUUGGGAAGCCGUUAAGGUAUUAUUAUGUCUGCGCCAUUACAUUUACCUUAGUGACAUAAACAGUUCAAAACAACAUGCAUUUAUCUGUAAUUUAAGUAUUAGCAAUUUGAAUUCCUAUAACAAAUAGCUUCUUAUAGAGAGCGUUUUAUGCAAAUGCACGGGUGCUGGCGCUUUUCGACUUGACUGAACACUCACCGCUCGUCUAUGAAAUGACUUUUGAUAUUAUUUCAAUAGCACCCUUAGAAAAUUAACUUCUUUGUGUCUUGAAGAAAUCACUCCUGCAAGCAUGGGCUGGGGGGUGGGUGGGGGGGAGAACGGGGAAAAUAUAUGUGUUGCCCCAUAUGUUAUCUGAAAUAGAUUAGAUAAAUUGAGGCUCAAGUACCAGGGUGCUAUUCAACACUCUGCCAAACAGUUUCUUGUUAGUUAAUUGAGGAAAAUCUACAUUAUAAACCCAUCCCAAAAGCUGUUUAGUUGGCAGCUUACACUUUUAUGGACUGCCUAUGGGAGGAUGUUGAUAUAGACAGGAAAAUUCUUUUGUGGAGAUUGAGCAAUGGACUCUUAAUUUCCUCUACCUUAGACUGGGAGGUAUCCAGCAAAUACUGAAUUUUUUUUUUUUAAGUGAACGGAGAGAAGGGAGGUUGCUGUUAAUAGCAUCUAUUCUAGGGUGGAUUUCAUAGGAAAAUAAAUGUUUCUACCCUGCUCUGUCUUUACAGAAUAUUUACCUGUAUACGGUUUAUUGUUAUGUCUACUCGUAGUGAGUGAAAAUAUCACUCACUGGAUUCAUUAAAGAGCUCCUUUUUGUACUCAGAACACUAACUUUUACCCUCAAAGAUAGAGGAUUUCAGACUAUGUUUAUAUAUACUCAUAAGUAUGCAUACACACACAAAUCCAUAUCUGUAUGUAUAUAGAAAAAGAUAAAGGCAAAAGCAGAUAUGUAAAUAUGUGUAUAGAUACAUAUAUACAUUUAGAUUUAUCUAUUUUUAAAGACAAAAGAAAUUCAUAAGAGAAUACAAGUAGGCAUUUUUACUUUUCACUGUAUAAUUUUAUUUAACAUGCUCUUUAAAAUGUACUUAACAAAAGAUCCAUUUCCUAGGGACUGAUUUUGUUCUCCAUUGCAUAUUAAAAUCCUUUUGUUUACUGUUAAUUUUUAAGUUAAUAACAAAUAAAGGUUAUAAAAAAUAAA